UCCUUAUCAAGAGCAGGGGAGGAACUUGGUCCCACGAUCCUGCGGCAACCUCACUUAUCCAUUAAGUAGAAAGGUGCCCAUUCCAACGAGCUGAUGCUUGAAAGAUAAGGG
rnacentral:ncRNA from 1 species